AAAAAUACUUAAGGGGAGAUACCAUGAUCACGACAGUGGUUUUCCCAGGGCGAGGCUCAUCUAUUACACUCCAGAUGUGCUGACCCCUGCGAUUUCCCCAAAUGUGGGAAACUCAACUGCAUAAUUUGUGGUAGUGGGGGACUGCGUUGGCGCUUUCUCCUG
ensembl:snRNA U1 U1 spliceosomal RNA